rnacentral:rRNA from 1 species
GUAGGGAAUCUUCCACAAUGGACGAAAGUCUGAUGGAGCAACGCCGCGUGAGUGAAGAAGGUUUUCGGAUCGUAAAGCUCUGUUGUUGGAGAAGAACACUAGUGAGAGUAACUGUUCAUUAGUUGACGGUAUCCAACCAGAAAGCCACGGCUAACUACGUGCCAGCAGCCGCGGUAAUACGUAGGUGGCGAGCGUUAUCCGGAUUUAUUGGGCGUAAAGCGAGCGCAGGCGGUUUUUUAAGUCUGAUGUGAAAGCCCCCGGCUCAACCGGGGAAGUGCAUCGGAAACUGGGAAACUUGAGUGCAGAAGAGGACAGUGGAACUCCAUGUGUAGCGGUGAAAUGCGUAGAUAUAUGGAAGAACACCAGUGGCGAAGGCGGCUGUCUGGUCUGUAACUGACGCUGAGGCUCGAAAGCAUGGGUAGCGAACAGGAUUAGAAACCCCAGUAGUCC